rnacentral:rRNA from 1 species
GACGAACGCUGGCGGCGUGCUUAACACAUGCAAGUCGAACGGAAAGGCCCUUCGGGGUACUCGAGUGGCGAACGGGUGAGUAACACGUGGGUGAUCUGCCCUGCACUUUGGGAUAAGCCUGGGAAACUGGGUCUAAUACCGAAUAGGACCACGUGCUUCAUGGUGUGUGGUGGAAAGCUUUUGCGGUGUGGGAUGGGCCCGCGGCCUAUCAGCUUGUUGGUGGGGUAAUGGCCUACCAAGGCGACGACGGGUAGCCGGCCUGAGAGGGUGACCGGCCACACUGGGACUGAGAUACGGCCCAGACUCCUACGGGAGGCAGCAGUGGGGAAUAUUGCACAAUGGGCGCAAGCCUGAUGCAGCGACGCCGCGUGAGGGAUGACGGCCUUCGGGUUGUAAACCUCUUUCAAUAGGGACGAAGCGCAAGUGACGGUACCUAUAGAAGAAGCACCGGCCAACUACGUGCCAGCAGCCGCGGUAAUACGUAGGGUGCGAGCGUUGUCCGGAAUUACUGGGCGUAAAGAGCUCGUAGGUGGUUUGUCGCGUUGUUCGUGAAAACUCACAGCUUAACUGUGGGCGUGCGGGCGAUACGGGCAGACUAGAGUACUGCAGGGGAGACUGGAAUUCCUGGUGUAGCGGUGGAAUGCGCAGAUAUCAGGAGGAACACCGGUGGCGAAGGCGGGUCUCUGGGCAGUAACUGACGCUGAGGAGCGAAAGCGUGGGGAGCGAACAGGAUUAGAUACCCUGGUAGUCCACGCCGUAAACGGUGGGUACUAGGUGUGGGUUCCUUCCUUGGGAUCCGUGCCGUAGCUAACGCAUUAAGUACCCCGCCUGGGGAGUACGGCCGCAAGGCUAAAACUCAAAGGAAUUGACGGGGGCCCGCACAAGCGGCGGAGCAUGUGGAUUAAUUCGAUGCAACGCGAAGAACCUUACCUGGGUUUGACAUGCACAGGACGCCGGCAGAGAUGUCGGUUCCCUUGUGGCCUGUGUGCAGGUGGUGCAUGGCUGUCGUCAGCUCGUGUCGUGAGAUGUUGGGUUAAGUCCCGCAACGAGCGCAACCCUUGUCCUAUGUUGCCAGCGGGUUAUGCCGGGGACUCGUAGGAGACUGCCGGGGUCAACUCGGAGGAAGGUGGGGAUGACGUCAAGUCAUCAUGCCCCUUAUGUCCAGGGCUUCACACAUGCUACAAUGGCCGGUACAAAGGGCUGCGAUGCCGUGAGGUGGAGCGAAUCCUUUCAAAGCCGGUCUCAGUUCGGAUCGGGGUCUGCAACUCGACCCCGUGAAGUCGGAGUCGCUAGUAAUCGCAGAUCAGCAACGCUGCGGUGAAUACGUUCCCGGGCCU